rnacentral:lncRNA from 1 species
CCUUGCUGUUGCUACCAGCUGCAGGGCAGUCUUAGCCUGAUGGCACCUGCCUCAGCCGCACAGGUGCCUCUUGCUCAAUCCUAGUGCUGCCUUGUGGCACACCCACGUGGACCCUUUCAGCCAUUUGGAUGCAUGUGCGAACCUGGACCCAUUGGACUUGGGAAUGGGAGGUGGUGGGUGCAGGCCAUUCACAUGGUGAAACCAUCUGCUUUUCUGAAGCCAUGUACUUCUGGGUGCAGGACUCUCAGAAAGGCUCAAGGACUUCAGGUGGGAAUCUGUGUCCAUGAUCUACAAGGGAAAGAGAAAAAUCCUGGGAUUUCCAAAGGGGGAAGAUACCCGAGUAGCAGUUAUCCAAAUAGAAGGCCUACCAGGAAUUAAGCCAUCUGUGGAAUAUUGCCCAACAAUCUUGUAUGAGUGAGAAAAACUGUCACAGACAUAUACACUUAAAUACGCCACUCCCACCCAAAGUUGUUCUAGAAAAAACAGUGUAAGGAAAAAUAAUUUACCUUCUUGAAAAGAUUACAGUGGGAUUUAGAGAAGGGAAAGGCUAUCUCUACUUAGUGACACAAGGAGUAACUUUUGAGUUAGUGAUGAUAGUGGAUAGCGGUGGUCGUAGACAAUGUGGCAGAGUCCCCUGUGGGGAGGUAGUCAUGUUCAACAGUUGAUUGCUUUUUAAAAUGAUGAGAGGCCCUGUGCUCCUGGCUCUGUAUCUCUCUCUUCAGAGCUCCAGACCCAUAUGAUCAACUGGCAACUGCUUGUCCCUCCUUAGGUAUAUCACAAGUAACG